AUGUUCUGGUACCUUGAUGAAAGGGAAUGACAUUUUUUUCAGAAAAUAUAUUGUUUGGGAAAUGUAGAAUUAAACAUUUAAUGGAAAUUACCCUCCAAACAUUAGCUUAUAUUAUACAUCAGUAAGACUAAAGCUUUAGAUAUUCAGCCACAUGAAUGUUUUCUAAUAUUUUUUUACAAGCCUUAAACUUAGGUUAAAGACCCCUUUGACACGAAGAUGGACAGUGUGUUGACUAUGUCUCAAUUGAUGUGUACAGUCAUGAAACUGAUAAGAUCUUUUGGGGAUUUUGUACAAAUGGAAUGAGGUUCUGAAUAUAAAUCACUAGGUGCAAUAAACUCAAAUUCCCUUAAGACAUGAACAGAUUAGAAAUGAAUUAAAACUAACGGGGUUGCAGGUAAUACAGGGAUACAGUUCAUCUUAUAGGACCCUUGUGGGUUCAGUGUUAUUCUUGGUACCCUAGAAGAUCACCAAGGCAAUAGACCAAGCAACAGCCCCAAAUAGGCUUCUAGAAAUAAAACUAGACUUUGCUCAGUUUGUAACCUUUAGUUCUCAGUUCCCACUUCUUGCACUCGUUGUAUUACUGAUGACUUCUCUUCUUCCUAAAUAACUUCCCAUUGCUGGGGGUCAUUUGUGUUACCCUCAUCCCUCUUCUAUAGGUUUGAAAAUGUCCAUAGAAUGUGUAUUUAUUCAUUCAGACACAGUGAGAAUAUGUAUUGAACUCUUAGAAUAUUCCUUGAGUUCUUCAUCUAAGAGGAAGGAAGGACUGGUAUUAAACUAUUUGCAAUAAAAUGUGAGUUUUACAAGGAAAGCACUCUGCCCAAAGGAAAUAACAAGAAAAUAAUGGGUUCAGAGAACAGUUCUGUAAAAUAUGGAGAAUGGUACAUUGAAGGCGUGAUGUUUGGCUGGACGUGAGAAGCAGACAGUAAGAGAGAGGAAAAAUCAGAGAAAGCCCAUGGGACCCAGUGAAGUUCUUUGGACUUCUCUAUGUUUCACUUUUAUUAUACUUUGAUUAUUAUUAUUAUUAUUAUUAUUAUAUUUUGUAAUGGUCAUACAAUGAAGAGAUGAUAAGAAAGUGAUUCAUUUCCAAUAUCAUCAUAGAAACAUAAUUGGUUACAUGGGAUGAAAAUCUAGAUCAAGGCAGUGAAGUGCAGAUUAGUCCAGAUGUUAGAAGCAGAAGGCCUAUAGAACUGUGGUGUGUGUGUGUGUGUGUGUGUGUGUGUGUGUGUGUGUGGCUGGUAGAGAAACAAAAGUUCACUUUUUUGACAAUGACUGUGUGAACAGAUGUCAGUAUUAACAGGAGGAAGAAGAGACAGACACUCAAUGUGGAUUCAGCUUUAACAGAACAGGAUGGGGAAAGUUUGCGACUUGCUGGCAAGAGAAGGACAAAAAUUAGAAAUAAUAGUCUACAGGACUAGAAGAGAUUAGAAAAACCAAUUACCUCUGUAAUUACUAGGUGCUUAGAUGCUAUUUGAGUGAAGUACCUUAGUCAGGCAAUGGAGUUAGAAGCCCAACUAACUGGGGAGUGAGUUGAAAGCAGUUCUCUAAGCCAGCGAAUGCCUAUUUUUAGAAAAUCAAUGAGAAAGGGGAGUGAGAGAAUCAAACCUGACUAGGAAAGAAAAAAUUCAAGAGGAAAGAAAAAUUUAAUUAAUAACACUUGAGCUGAGUGAAGGCCCAGAAGCUAGAGAUUAAAUUCAGGAAAAAUGAAGAUUACAGAUAGAUGUAUAGUUACUGACACAAUUGUGCUCAAGAAAUAAUUUCUGGAAAAAUGAUAAAGGCUGAGAUUGUAUUCUUUUUUAAGAUUUAUUUAUUUAUUUGUUUUAUGUAUGUGAGUACACUGUCAUUCUCUUCAGACACACCAUAAGAGGACAUCAUAUCCCAUUACAGAUGGUUGUGGUUGCUGGGAAUUGAACUCAGGACCUCUGGAAAAGCAGUCAGUGCUCUUAACCACUGAGCCAUCUCUCUAGCUUUGUAUUCUUUAGAGAAGACAAAGAAGAAAUACAAAGACAGAGAUGAAGGAGAGAAGGGGUUAGAGAAUUUGUGGCUUAUGACAUCUACUUUUCAAUCAAAUAGGAGGCUUAGCCAUUGUCACCAGUGAGAGUGGGGUAGGCAGCUUGAGGACAAGGUGAAAGGACAAAGCCGUUGCUCACCCAAGCCAGGCGGUACACUCCUGUAAUUUCAGCUACUCAGAGGUUGAGACAGGAUAAUGCUGAAUUCAAGGACUGUGUCAGCUAUUGACAGGGUCAAGUACUAUCCUAGGCAACACAGCGAGACCCCGCCUCAAAGUCAAAAGUACAAAUAGGGCUGGAGAUGUAGCCCCCCAGUGGUAGAGUGCCUACCCAGCAUAAUAUAUGCAAGACUCAUACAGUGGAGAAGAUCAAUAAGCUGAUCAAGCAAGAGAACAAUACACUAGAGGGAUUGAUAGAAGAAUACUUAGUUCAAGAAUCCCCAAGGAUAGCC
rnacentral:lncRNA from 1 species